rnacentral:lncRNA from 1 species
UAGAUAGUCUGUCCACUAUAUUGUGAAUGACAAUGUCAAAAGUUGUGGCCGUAGUGAUAGUUCUUAGUUUGAUGAUGAUCAUCACGGUCGUGCACAAGGAGCGAGCACUGACAGCUGUUCCAAUAGAAGAAACCAGUGAAGGAUGGGUGCGCUAUUCGGUGACUACAUCGCCGACAACCAACGAAGCUAAUAAAUCAUGUGGUGGUCAGGAGCCCCCACCAAAAUGUCAUCAUCCACCUUCCCCUGUUUACUAGUACAGUAGUAUUU